AACCGCUUAGGGGUUAAACCCGAUGAACCCGAAUAUCCGAUGUGAGAAAUUCAACAUAUUAUUUUGUGCGGCUAUCGCAGUAGCCAUUAUGGAUGUGCACUUUUCUCAUAGUAGGACAUUGCGAUCCAUUGGUGUCGCCUAUCAGACGGCCCGUGCUGUUCCGUUUGUGCAGAGGCUUGCAUGUGCUUGCGCACGUGUACUGCCGAAGCGCAAUGCUAAGUACAUGCGGUGACCCGGUAGGCAGCCGAUGGAGCUGUUAUGUGAACGUGAAUCGUGCAAGUAUUCCGGUAACGGGAUGCGCCACGGCCGUGUGCAUUUAGUGUGUGCGCGGUGUAUGUGGUGGCACGUAUUCGAUCGGCAAUGCGUUAGGUUUGGGAUACCUUCGGGACCCGUCUUGAAACACGGACCAAGAAGUCUAACAUGUGUGCGAGUCAUUGGGUAUGUGAGUGUUGUCGAAACCUAAUGGCGCAAUUAAAAUGACUGGCGGCAUUGUGGUAACACGAUGUCGCGCAUGGGAUUACGCGCAGCAACGUGUGUGCUUCGGCGCACAAUUUUGAAUAGUGUGUGCUGCGCCUCCAUCCCGGGGCGUUCUGUUUGAGUGAACAUGGCGGUCGUGAGGCCGUCCGCUGUUCGGGAGCGUACCUUGAGCAUACAUGCUGUGAC
rnacentral:rRNA from 1 species